UUUAAAUUGAGAGUUUGAUCCUGGCUCAGGACGAACGCUGGCGGCGUGCCUAACACAUGCAAGUCGAGCGAUGAAACCCUUCGGGGUGGAUUAGCGGCGGACGGGUGAGUAACACGUGGGUAACCUGCCUCAAAGAGGGGAAUAGCCUCCCGAAAGGGAGAUUAAUACCGCAUAAUAUGUUUUGGUCGCAUGACCUUUACAUCAAAGGAWUUUUCUUUUAGAGAAUUCCACUUUGAGAUGGACCCGCGGCGCAUUAGCUAGUUGGUGAGGUAACGGCCCACCAAGGCAACGAUGCGUAGCCGACCUGAGAGGGUGAUCGGCCACAUUGGAACUGAGACACGGUCCAGACUCCUACGGGAGGCAGCAGUGGGGAAUAUUGCGCAAUGGGGGAAACCCUGACGCAGCAACGCCGCGUGAAUGAUGAAGGCCUUCGGGUUGUAAAGUUCUGUCUUCUGGGAC
rnacentral:rRNA from 1 species